GACGAACGCUGGCGGCGUGCUUAACACAUGCAAGUCGAACGGAAAGGCCCUGCUUUUGUGGGGUGCUCGAGUGGCGAACGGGUGAGUAACAAGUGAGUAACCUGCCCCUGACUUUGGGAUAACUUCAGGUAACUGGGGCUCAUACCGGAUAGGAGCUCCUGCUGCAUGGGGGGGGUUGGCUAGUUUCGGCGGUUGGGGAUGGACUCGCGGCUUACUAGCUUGUUGGUGGGGGAGUGGCUUACCAAGGCGUUGACGGCUGGCCGGCCUGGGGGGGGGACCGGCCACAUUGGGAUGGGGAAAGGGCCCGAACUCCAACGGGGGGCAGAGGUGGGGAAUAUUGCACAUGGGGCGGAGGCCUGAGGCAGCAACGCGGCGUGGGGGUGAAGGGCCUCCGGUUGGAAACCCGCUUUCGCCUGGAACGAACCGUUAGUGACGGUAAUUGGUAAAGAAGCACCGGCUAACUACGUG
rnacentral:rRNA from 1 species